GUAUCUUACUGUCCUGUUUUGUUCUCUUCCACCAGCUGAUCUACAUGAUGGCUACCACAUAUAACUAUGCGGUUUUGAAGUUUAAGAGUCGGGAAGAUUGCUGCACUAAGUUCUAAAUUGCAUAAGGCCAAUAAGGAGCUUUAGAGAGCUCUACUCUGUAGCGUGAAUAUCACUGACACUUCAGACUAAAGCAGAGUCUGUUUCUGCAGUUUUGUUACAGUAAUUUGUAAAUAGCUUCAGUUAACUCAUUCGCAUGUUAGAAUAAUAUGACUUACUAUACAUGAAUUACAAAAUAAUGAUGUGGCUAUUUCCACAUUUUGAAAAGCAUUCAGUUACUUACUGACAUUGGUGAGCAUCCUUUCAAAAACUUUCUUGAAAAACGUUGAGCAGUAUCUAAGUGAAGUAUUAAUGCUUUGACAUACCUGCAUUUUCCGUUACUUAUGCUUGCUUGAUAACCACUUUCAGUGAUGAAAAUGCGAACAAGUGCUGAAGAUGAAAAGAAAUGUUUUAAUCUGGAUUUUGUUUUGUUACUGUAGAAGAUAUUUUGCAAAUUUUAAAUUUGACUUAAAACAACUUUUUAUGAUCAUAUGGUUCACUACCAAAUAAAUGCCCCCACAAAUAAAGCAGAUGAAAAUUUGAAGGAAAAGGGUGUCACCCAUCUGAUUUCUCUGAAAAAGGAUCUAUGAAUUAUUUUUUUUUUGCAUAACACAAUCAUUCCUUUAGAGCCUACAAAAUUGGUAACCUUAAAUGGUUGUCUUUUGGUGAGUAGUAACUGUUUCUUCAUAGCUAGUUGUCAAAUGGCAUGUAAGAUUUUAAUGGGAAGAGAAAUUGGGCCUGAAUCUGAAGGUCUCAAAUAUGUUGUGAAGGAAGUAAGAAAUACAAGGAAAUUGAAAUAGAUUUAUUUUGCAGGAAAUAUGGGGAAAAUGGGAAAGAAGUAUGUGCCACAUCAAUUGUAAAGAAGGAUAAUGAGGAUUUUUACAUUUUGUGAAAUGAAAUAAUGGCAGUUAUAAAAUGAAAAAUAGUUUCACUACUAAAAAUUUGUUAAUUAAGAAACUGCAUGCUUUGCUUAUAUAGUUCUUAAUUUUGGUUUUGACAUUUAAUUUUUCCAUGUUAAAUAUGUAGUUUAAUUACUCAAAAUAAACAUUGUUCACACUUUUAGGUCUUUGGGGGAAUUGAUUUUUUUUAUCCACAGGUGGAAAAGAUCUUUGCAUUAUACUUAAUUAAAAUAAACACAACGGGUUUCUGAACUUCUGCAUUAGUCUUUACAGUUAUCCUCAAAAUGGUAAAAAGCACUCUUAUGUUUCAUUUUUGCUUUUUCUUAACAAUAACUUCGGCCAUUUUCCCCCCAAGUUCACUAUAUUUGUGUACUAACUUUUCUUCAGCCUUUUAAUAUGAAGCCAACUAGUAGAGCAUGCUCUGUGUCUGACAGCUCUGCUAGCAGAAUGAGUAUUAAUACCGAAUAACCCUUGCCCCUUUACAGUUGAGUCCAUCUAAUCUGACUAGCAGCUUGCUUUGCCUUCUCACGUGCUCACUAGCCAUCAUGCUCACCCUUCUUUUCCAGAUCCACUUCCUCAUGAUACUGUCUUCUAACUGGGCUUACUUAAAGGAUGCGAGCAAAAUGCAGGCUUACCAGGAUAUCAAAGCAAAGGAAGAACAGGAACUGCAAGAUAUCCAGUCUCGGUCAAAAGAACAACUCAAUUCUUACACAUAAAAUGUUUGCCAGAGUGUUUCUGCCGACGAUUUUACAGCUCUGACAAAUCAUCAGCUGCUCUGCAGUACAGAUGUGUAUCCCACCAAACUAAUGUAGAUGUACCAACAUUUCACUGUCUGUCUCAAGCUACUGGGAUGUAUCUCUAGGAAAACCUUCCAGUGGGUAAAUCUUUCUUUAGGACAAAUAUUGGAGGUUUCAUGUCAGCCAUUUUAAAAGGCAACACUUUUGACAAACUGUUCAUCCUUUGAAAAUUUGUGGCAUGUAUGUACUUAUUGCUAGAGCAGUUCUAUCAAGACAGGCAAUGGGAAUACAUCAUACUCCUUGAUAGGGACCUAUGACAUGCCAGCAUCAAGGGAUGUGACCAUAAAUUCACAUAUGCUAUCUGCCCUCAAAAAAUAAAAUCUACAUAGGAAAUAAAAUGGAAUUGGUGUAAAGUUCCAGUUCUGACAGCUGACAUUUAUUUAACUUGGGCUCAAAGAUAAUGUGAUUCCUAUGACUGACUUUAAAAAACAAAUUAGCACCCCUCAAUUCCAGGACCCAUUGAUUUCCUCAGCUAAUGAGAAACCUAUUUUUCAAAAAUACUACAAAACGAGAGCUUACAACAAUUGUGCUGAACCUAACACAGAAGAAGCUGAAUUCUGACUUGGUGACAAGCUUUCCAGAAUCAGUUUUAUAAUAGAUUUCAUUUACACAAUGAUAAUGACAGUUUUCAUUCUUCUUGGGAAAUAAGCAUCAGCUCUGCCUUAAUGAGUAUUUACCUGAAAUUUCUAAGAAUUUAUAUAACCAGAGGCCCCAAACUCCUUCACAGAAUUUUGUUCCAUAAAUAUUUUUAAGAAGUGUUACCUUAUUAAAAUGACCACCAUUCUAAACCAUUUGUAAGUGGUCUGAAUGGUGAGUUUACAGUUUCAUAGCAACUAUCUAAAACCUAACUGCAAAUUGACCACAGACCUCUAACCUCCUACUUUUAUAGACUUGAAUACAUAAUUUAAGUUAGGGUUGGUAUUUAUUUCAUUUCAAUUCUUAUCUUGGUUUCCUGGAAUAAUGUUUAAUGUUCGGCAAGAAAACUGCUUGAGUUUAAGCCAUUUCAAAAGAAAUUUGCCUUCUAAGUCAUUGUGUUCCAGAACAUUAAGUGACUAUAGGUACUGGGUUUUAGUGAUGGUAAACUUUGUGUUGUUCUUUUUGAAAUGAUCCAUAUAGCUAUUGGGUGCAUCAGUGCUUUUCAAAGGGGCUGCAUACUAUAGGGUUAACUAUGUAUAUUCAUGUUAAGAGUUAACUUGUGAUUUGGCUGUUUCCUGGAUUUAAAAACAUACAUGUGCAGAAAUGUAUUCAAAUGAAAGGAAGCAUACCUUUAUCAAGAUGCUAUUAAAAUUGAACAUCAAGUAUAAUAUUUCAUUUGGAUUUUUUUUUUUUUGGUUCAUGCCUAAAAAUGCCUAUUUGGAUUUUUGUUUUUUAAAUUGGAAGAAGCUCUCUUCUGUGUAGAACAGUUCCAAAGUAGCUUAGUGUUUUGUUUUCCUGUUGCAUGACAGACUUAAAUAUUUUUUUUCCAGCAGUGAGGGUGCUGUUAGAGUCCAGUGUUUUAGAAGAGGCAGUGUCUAAAGCCUAAUUUUACUUUUCUAAUUCUGGUAGCUAUUACCAGGAAUUUUUGAAAGUUUUGUUGAAGUAGUCUAAUAUUUUUUAUGUAAAGAGCAUUAAAUUUUGCUAUGUAUAAAUUUUUGUAACCUAACAGUGAAUCAAUAUUUUCUAUCAGUGCCAAGGGCUUCCUGUAGUUCUAUUCAAGUGUUACAAUAAAUAUUUGUAGAUAAUAGUCAAUACUUGUGUAUGCUUAUUUUAAAGAUCUAUUUAGGUGGAAAUAGUUGUGGAUGUACUAAGAGUAAUGAAAUAAAAUUAUGGCUUCAUUUGCUUGCCUUUUUACCAUACAUAAAUCCUAUCUUUCUCUGUCCUCAG
rnacentral:lncRNA from 1 species